rnacentral:rRNA from 1 species
AGAGAUGGAUUGGUGCCUUCGGGAACUCUGACACAGGUGCUGCAUGGCUGUCGUCAGCUCGUGUCGUGAGAUGUUGGGUUAAGUCCCGUAACGAGCGCAACCCUUGUCCUUAGUUACCAGCACGUUAUGGUGGGCACUCUAAGGAGACUGCCGGUGACAAACCGGAGGAAGGUGGGGAUGACGUCAAGUCAUCAUGGCCCCUACGGCCUGGGCUACACACGUGCUACAAUGGUCGGUACAAAGGGUUGCCAAGCCGCGAGGUGGAGCUAAUCCCAUAAAACCGAUCGUAGUCCGGAUCGCAGUCUGCAACUCGACUGCGUGAAGUCGGAAUCGCUAGUAAUCGUGAAUCAGAAUGUCACGGUGAAUACGUUCCCGGGCCUU